AGGAAUAGGGUUGCAAGUUGGAUUGGAAAUUCUAUAAUCCAACCACUUUCAAUCCUAAACUCUUCAGAGAUGACAAGAUCCAUUGGCUCCAGCACCACAUGUGUUCUGCUCAUUGCUCUCCUUCUCGUUGCUUCCAUGGGUGAGUGAUCUUCAAAACCUUAUCAACUCGAAAAGUUGAUAUUUAAAUCCUUUCUUGCACUGCAAGACAAUUCAUACGAACCUCCAAAGUUUAUAAUAAUGUCACUAAUUUUAUUAGACAUGACAUCCCAAAUACACCUUCGUUGUUUUUGUUGUUAGUCUUACAAAGCUGUAUAAUUAAGAAGAAUAAAAGAAAUUGAGAAAGUAAUAUUUUUAUUUUUUGGGGUGAUAAUAUACAGAAAUGCCAGUGGUAGAAGGAGGAAGAGGAUGCAAGCAGGCAAGCAAGUCGAUGACCACCUGCACAGCCCACCCAGAGUGUGACAAAAAAUGCAAAGGAGAGAAAGCAAAGAUGGGACUUUGUCGUGGCCCAAAGGCAAAAAGUGCUGGUGCUACAUGUGUUAACAUGAAUGGGAAUUUUGUAUAACUUUCUCAAUAAUAAAAUAGUUCUAAAAAAAUUUUGAGAAAAAACAUCUCUC
rnacentral:lncRNA from 1 species